rfam:Brochothrix thermosphacta DSM 20171 = FSL F6-1036 c45, whole genome shotgun sequence.
GAUAAAACGAUGAUAAGAAAUAGUAAUAGAGGUUGUUGUUGCAAAGAGAGUCAGUGGUUGGUGUGAACUGAUGAAUAACCCUUUAUGAAUCCAUCUUUGAGUGAACAGUGGAAUGAGCGUGCUCUAUUAAAUUGUUCCGGUGAUAAGCCGUUAAACAAAUUAAGUGGGAAAACAAAGCAAUUGUUUUGUUUUCCAAUUAGGGUGGCACCGCGAUAGAUACUCGUCCCUUCU